AUUGAACGCUGGCGGCAGGCCUAACACAUGCAAGUCGAGCGGAUGAAGGGAGCUUGCUCCUGGAUUCAGCGGCGGACGGGUGAGUAAUGCCUAGGAAUCUGCCUGGUAGUGGGGGAUAACGUCCGGAAACGGGCGCUAAUACCGCAUACGUCCUGAGGGAGAAAGUGGGGGAUCUUCGGACCUCACGCUAUCAGAUGAGCCUAGGUCGGAUUAGCUAGUUGGUGGGGUAAAGGCCUACCAAGGCGACGAUCCGUAACUGGUCUGAGAGGAUGAUCAGUCACACUGGAACUGAGACACGGUCCAGACUCCUACGGAAGGCAGCAGUGGGGAAUAUUGGACAAUGGGCGAAAGCCUGAUCCAGCCAUGCCGCGUGUGUGAAGAAGGUCUUCGGAUUGUAAAGCACUUUAAGUUGGGAGGAAGGGCAGUAAGUUAAUACCUUGCUGUUUUGACGGUACCAACAGAAUAAGCACCGGCUAACUUCGUG
rnacentral:rRNA from 1 species